GUAAUGUUUUCGAUGAAUUGUGAGUUUCUUGUUCUGACUUGAGAAAAUAAAUGAAAAGUUUUUUUUAUUGUAGAAUCGUUUUUGUGGUAUUUCGCGCGCGCCAAUCUAUGGCGUUCCAUUUAAGUCAAAACAAACUUUUCAAAUUUUCAAAACUUAUAGUCUGAGCGUAUGUGGAGAGAUGUAUGCGGGCCAUGCGUAAACCUCACUUGAUAGUGGAUGAAAUUUUGACUUCAAGAUUCACUUAAAGAUGAAUCUUCUCCGAUUCUGUCCAUAGGUUUAUUAGCUGGAAUAUUUAUAGUGGCAACAGGCUAUAUUUGGCUAAGGAGAACAAGUGUUAUAUUCCUGGUGUUGGGUGUUGAAUUUUCUGGUUUAAAUGCUAUUGGUUACGCUGUCGAUCAUUUGGACAUUGCCCCACCCUUUGCAUCAGCUCCUGGAUUUAUAACCCAAUACAAGAAGAUUGGAGGAUAGUGUUCUGGAACACACUUGUUAUGUUAACGCCGUAAUUUUCUACACACAGCCUUGUUUAGGAGAACGCCAGCCAUGGGCAUCACCUACUACGCAGGAAGAUAUAGACAAAGAGGAAUAAGACUCCUAGGACUCACACAGAAUGAUACAGUGCUACAGUAGAAACUACGUGGUAAGGUCCAAUGGUUACAUGUUCCAGUAUCACGGUGGCAAGUUGGUUCUAGUCCUUGCUCUUUUGUUCCGUUUAAUUAGUGCGAAGCAAAGAGCGAAGGAAUACUUACCAACGUGUGGCUCAUAGUGAGACGCAAUAAUUCUACUUCAUCAUCCGACCGAGGCUAGGAGUAUGGCAGUUUGAAGGGCGUGAUCAACAAUUAUGACUUUUUAUACGAUCAGUAUCAUCUUCGAAGUAUGUCGACCUUAAUUAAGAAAAAAUAUGAACAUUUGGCUUCUAUGAACAAACGUAAGAUAAGUUUAAACUGAAGAAUAAAUCUAUAAUCAUUCUA